AUUGAACGCUGGCGGCAUGCCUUACACAUGCAAGUCGAACGGCAGCAUGGAGAGCUUGCUCUCUGAUGGCGAGUGGCGAACGGGUGAGUAAUGCAUCGGAACGUACCGUGUAAUGGGGGAUAACGUAGCGAAAGUUACGCUAAUACCGCAUACGACCUGAGGGUGAACGCAGGGGAUCGCAAGACCUUGAGUUAUACGAGCGGCCGAUGUCAGAGUAGCUAGUUGGUGAGGUAAAGGCGCACCAAGGCGACGACCUGUAGCGGGUCUGAGAGGAUGAUCCGCCACACUGAGACUGAGACACGGCCAAGACUCCUACGGGAGGCAGCAGUGGGGAAUUUUGGACAAUGGGGGCAACCCUGAUCCAGCCAUGCCGCGUGAGUGAAGAAGGCCUUCGGGUUGUAAAGCUCUUUCGGCCGGGAAGAAAUCGCACAGGCUAAUACUCUGUGUGGAUGACGGUACCGGCAUAAGAAGCACCGGCUAACUACGUGCCAGCCGCCGCGGUAA
rnacentral:rRNA from 1 species